UUGUCAGCCGCCGCGGUAAUACGUAGGUGGCGAGCGUUAUCCGGAAUUACUGGGCGUAAGGCGCACGCGGGCGGUCUGUUAAGUUUGACGUGAAAGCUCCCGGCUUAACUGGGAGAGGUCGUUGAAGACUGGCAGACUUGAGGCAAUGAGAGGGGUGUAGAAUUCCCGGUGUAGUGGUGGAAUGCGUAGAUAUCGGGGGGAAUACCAGUGGCGAAAGCGGCACCCUAGCGUUGUUCUGACGCUCAUGUGCGAAAGCGUGGGGAGCGAACGGGAUUAGAAACCCUUGUAGUCC
rnacentral:rRNA from 1 species